GGGGUUCUGGCUCAGUGGCAGAGCACUUGCCUAGCAUGCAUGAGGCACUGAGCUCGAUUCUGAGCACCA
rnacentral:tRNA from 1 species